rnacentral:pre_miRNA from 1 species
GGAGCGCAGGAUCGUGGGCUGUGUCCCCAGCACCCUGGGAUCCGGGGCCUGUGCUGCUGGAACCGUGUCCUGGGGCCGCCGCUCC